rnacentral:rRNA from 1 species
UACGUAGGGGGCAAGCGUUGUUCGGAAUUACUGGGCGUAAAGGGCUCGUAGGUGGCCAACUAAGUCAGACGUGAAAUCCCUCAGCUUAACUGGGGAACUGCGUCUGAUACUGGAUGGCUUGAGUUUGGGAGAGGGAUGCGGAAUUCCAGGUGUAGCGGUGAAAUGCGUAGAUAUCUGGAGGAACACCGGUGGCGAAGGCGGCAUCCUGGACCAACACUGACACUGAGGAGCGAAAGCCAGGGGAGCAAACGGG